rnacentral:misc_RNA from 1 species
UUUCCGUAGGUGAACCUGCGGAAGGAUCAUUACUGAUUGAUGUCCCUUCGGGGUCCAACCUCCCACCCGUGUUUAACGAACCUUUUUGCUUCGUCCUUUCCGCCUCCCGGCCGCCCUGGGCCAUUUUCCCCCCGGCCCGCCCCCGCCCUAUCCUCCUUUGACCGCUGUCUUACAUCUUCCGUCUGAGACAAUUAUUAAAUUCAUUAAAACUUUCAACAACGGAUCUCUUGGUUCCGGCCUCCAUGAAGACCGCAGCAGAUCGGAAGAGCCCACGUCUUC